rnacentral:tRNA from 1 species
GCAUGGGUGGCUCAGUCGGUUAAGCAUCUGACUUUGACUCAGGUCAUGAUCUCACAGUUCAUGGGUUCAAGCCCCGUGUCAGGCU